rfam:Triticum aestivum genome assembly, contig: Triticum_aestivum_CS42_TGACv1_scaffold_130612_2BL
GAUGUACUCCAUCCAUCUGGAAAUACUUGUCAUCAAAAUGGAUAAAAGGGUAUGCAUCCAGACAUAUUUUAUUUCUAGAUACAUCUUUUUUUAUCUAUUUUGAUGACAAGUAUUUUCGGAUAGAGGGAUUAUGAA